UUCGGUUAAAACAUUCCAUGCGUUGUAAUAUCUCUUUCUUUUCCUUAUCAUCGUCACUUUCAUCACCGUGGUAAUUCUCAACUAUACUCAUCACCUGUGAAUAAAUUUUAUAUCCAAAAUCAUAUAUUAAUAACUAUUGAUAAAACUAAUUUAGUAUAAAUAAGUAGAGCAUAAAUUCAAUAUCCCAAAGACCAAACAUAAACAACUAUUAAUAAAAGUAGAUUACACAUAAAUAAGUAGAACAUAAAUUCAAUAUUCAAAAACUAAACAUAAACAACCAUUGAUAAAACUAGAUUACACAUAAAUAAGUAGAACAUAAGUUCAAUAUCCAAAAACCAAACAUAAAUAACUAUUGAUAAAACUAGUUUAGCAUUUUUGUUUAGUCAAAUAAUAGACAUCUCCUAACCCUAGAAGAUUAGAAAAUUUUCAACUAUUCUCCAUUUCCGUCUUAAGCCACAAAGCUCUAAUCUUGGGAUUAAUUGAUAAAAACAUAAUUCGCUUGUCCUUAUUGAGCAAUAAUCUAAGUGCGAAAAAGUAUAGCGGACUAGCUUCUGGAACUUCUUCCGACAUGCUGUCAAGCACUUUGACUGCUUCUGGAAUACCAUAUGGAUCCAUAACAGGAGUCAAACUAGAUGUGGCUUGACUCAUAUUGUCAGCUGCAUUGCAUAAUUUUUCUAUUUGACUGGACAAUCUUACAGCCCCUCCAAUUUGCUUUGAGGAUUUUUUUCUUCCAGUUUUAAAUUGUGAACUUGAUAUCUCAGGGUUUUUUCUUUUUUGACCAUUUCCAUCAAUUUGAACAUCAUUUGAAAUGUGAACAUCAUUUAAAAUGUGAACAUCAUUUCUCACAUUUUCUUCUUCAUUCUCUUCAGGUAUUUCAUUGUUAACAUCCUCAAAAAAAUCACUACAGAGUGUACCAGAAGAAGGUGCCCAUGCUUUAUCACCUGUUGCAACUAUCCCCAUGAACAUUUGGUCCAACUUCCCUUCGAAUUCAGGAUCAAUGCCCGAUGUUCUAAAAUUUUGAGCUUCAGGCACAACCUACAUAUAAAAUGAUAGUUUAAUAACAGUAAUUAUCAAUAAUCUCAUAAAUAAGAUAAAAACAAAAAUAUUCGGAACUAUUAAUGUACCUUUAGCCUACUCUCCCACCAAUCAUCCGGUGCAUCAACAGUUCUUUUUAUAGGAUUCCACCCUAGACCAGUAUCUUCGCCUUUAAGUUUCUUCCAAGCUUUCCAUUCUUUUUUUAGAGCAUCCCACUUAUUUUUAAGUUGUUUUUGUGAAAAGACCUUGCCCGCUUCUUUCUCAAAGUUGGUCAUUAUUUUCAACCAUCCAUCUUUUGUGAAAUGAGUACCAAGCCUAUUGCCUUUCAAAAACUCUUUAAUACAAAUAUCGCAAAAUAUUUCUGUCAAUCUCUUAUCCCACAUUGCUUUCACUUUUUCACCACUAACUUCAACCGCCGAAGUACUCAUCUAUUGUGUAUAAGAACAGAUUCGUUUCAGCCAGUAAAGCAAUUAAGAAAAUCAAAUGUGACAUAAGUAUAUUUUUCUACAUGUGUAUCAAAAUCAAAGAUACUAUCUUAAGAAAAUUAGCACAGCAUAUCCAAGCAAUAUACCAGAUCAUAAACAUCAUCUGAUCUAUAAACUGUUACAGCUAAAAAAAUAAACUAUAAGAUAUGUGUAUUGAAGGAAGUAAAUCUCCAAUACUAAACUAAAACAAUAGGAGAGCAGGAGAAGUAGAGGCAAUUACCUUGUUGAUGACCAGGAGAAGCAGAGGCAACGGAAAUUGUUCCUUUUUUAGCUUCCAACACUUAAAAAGAAAAAAAAAGUAAAGAGAGAUAAACAAAAAAGAAAAUAGAAAAUUUAUGAAACUAUAAAUUAUGAGUUUCAUAAAAUAAAAAUCCAAAUCUGUAGAAAUGAAAUGGCAAAUUACAAGUAAUUGGAGUCUUAUUUUCUAAUAAGAACUACGUAACGCUAUUAAUAUAAAAGGUGCUAUAUCUAUUAAAAGGUCCUGUAUCUAAAACAUAAAUAACAUGCAGAAUUGGAUUUAGGGAAUAAGCAGCUUUUUUUAGGACAAAAAACAAGUUGAAUUCUGCAUUAAUUAAACUCUGUGUCUUGGGUAAAAGGAAAAAGAGAGAUUGGUAAGAAUAUUCCAACCUAACAUUUCACUGACUCAUGUUUCAACAAUCACUUUUCUUCUUAAGCACAAUAAUAAAUAUAUUUUUCUAUAUUGUUAGCAACAUCUUUAAUAAAACUUGCCACAUCCUUGUUAGCAUAAAUGAAUUUCUGACUAAAUUCAAUUUGCACUCCUAUUUCAACAAUAAACUAUCCUUUCAACUUAAAUAAGAUGUCAAUAUAUACACAAAAUUAAAUGGCUUAUUGAAUUACAACCACAUAUUCCUCUAAAAUACUCGUGUAAAGUGAUCGACAUAAUAGCAAAGAUUUUCUAGUCCCUUUAAUUGUACUAACAAGUAACUUUGCUGACACCUGCUCAUCUAGGAAGCUCCUCUCCAUACAGGGGAUCUAAGCAAGCUAGUUGGUUCAUACAGAAUGUUGGAAACCACAUCUCGGUUUGUGCAAAUUUGCUCUGUAUGGCCAUUUGAGGAAUACAAAGGAUAGAAUUUUCACCUUUCUUUUUUUCUUUAUAUUUGUGUUUAAUAAUAGGAAAGAUAAAGAUGGGAGCUUUUUAGACUUCAAAUAAUUUAAAAAUAAUAUUCUUGCAGGAUAUCAAGACUAAACUAUGGCCAGCUAGUCAAAAAUCAUGAAAUUGCAACACCACUGCUCAUUGUCAAACAAACAGAUCAAACGUAUUUGAAUUCCACAAUGGUUAAGAAUAUACCUUUUUCCUCGUGUUCAUAAAGUGCAAAAACAAAAAAGAGGCACCUAAAUUAAUAGUGUACAUUAGUUGACUUGUAAAAUGAAGUUUUCCUUUGUUAUUUUUAAUGCCAUCAUAACACUUACAAAAGCAAUAUCUUAGACGCAGAGCACUAAAAAUACACAUCUAACCAUUCCAGAAACCACAGUUCAACAUUUAGGAGGUUAUAUUUGUAUGCAGUCUAAUCUCAUGUCUCAUUAUAAACGCUUUUAUGGAUCAUUACUGCUAUAUGACGGACACUGAUAAAAGUUGGUAAGUGAUAAGAAUUAGCAGUAAUACAAAGCAAACAACCUAAUGUGAACCAUUUACUAGCAAUUUACUUAGGUUAAUUCCAUCCUUACUUAGCUUAAUCUUACAACAUUUACUAGCAAAUUCAAGGUCUAAACAGAUUUGGUUAAAAGCAUUUUAUCAAUUUUCCUUUUAAGUUACAAUUAGCAUUGAACCUGACAAGUAACACCUUCCGAUUUAGUUAACUCAAUACUCCCCUUAAAUCCAUACAAUUAAACCAUGAUUUCAACCAUUAAUACGAAGAAAUAUACACAUUAACAAUUAAAUACGAGGCAUAAACUUUUUCAUAUUAAAAAUAAAUCGAAAGCAAAGCAAAACAAAACUUCAGCCACAUCGUCAAUCAACCCUACACUGCACCCUCGUCCUCCCCUUUUCUAUUCAAAAAAGUGCCAAGGCAGUGACUUGUCGAGUAGCCAAUAAUAAAACAGAGCACAACAAAAAAUAGCCAACGUACUAGAGAAGAGUUCCAGUACCAGUACCAAGACCAUAACAGUGCAAAAGAAACUCGGGCUCUCAAAUCAGAAUGAAAAGGAUGAGCUGCUGAGCAAGGGAGCGAAUGCAGAAGAAAGGUUUACAGAGAAGAAAUAUGCAUAUCCCUUCGAGAAAGAACAAACGGAUGGGAAAUCCAACAAGUUGGUGAAUAAUAAAAAUAGUAUCACGCCCAAUUUAUUAAGGUGCCGAAUCAAAAAUCAUAAUCCAAACAACUUAAAAAUGAUCAUACAGCUGGGUGCCGCGUGUUAGAAAACAAAAAUAUGGGUAAAUGAAAUCACCAGGAAAUCGUGCCCUCCAGACCCCAGCUGUGCAGAAAAUAAAAACAAAAGCAUAAUGAACAAUUAGAAGAAGAAGAGAAGAAAAAGAUAAACUCACCGAUGGAGAAGAGAAGAAGAACAAAGAACCAGACCAAAAUGGGUAAAAGCAAAAGAGAAAAGCUGAAAGAAAUGUGAAAAAAUUAGAGUAUAUUUCAUAAUUAUUUCAUAAGAUCAAACAAUCAGAAAAUAAAAACUAAAGCAUAAUGAAAAAUUAGAAAAAGAAGAAAAGAAAAAGAUAGAGUACUAGUGGAGAAGAGAAGAUACAGAGAACAAUUUCAGACAACUACCGUGGAGGAGAUCAGGUUAAAAGGGUAAAAUAUCAACCCAAAUGAACUUCAGGCUUGAAAAAGCUAAAAUAAAUGGCUUUUUCAUCUGUAAAAAAGGCCUUAAACUAAGUUUAAAAAGUUGGUAAACUGAUGGUUGUUCUUCAUUGCUUUUCAAAUAAAAGCACUUUUUGGGGAAAAAGCUCAUCCCAAACACAAUGAAGAACAAGGGCUUAAUGAACUUAAGGCCUUGCUUCAUGGUAUGUAAAAGUCACUCUAUAAAUAAUGUGAUUGGUGGUCUUACUGGUGAAAUGAGGAUAAUUGAAAAGCCAUGAAAAAACUAAAAAUAUAUGGUGGAAAAAUUGAUUAAGAAAAUAGUGUUUAUUGGAUAGCAGAAGUUUUUUUAAAACUGUGUUAUUUAUAAUAAUAAAUUCUAGAUUAAAUUAGCACCUUUGCUUUAAGUGAGACGGUUUAGAUCGUUUCUUGGCUUUCUAUCAAAUAAUCUUUGUUGUUAUCCUCUAUCCUUAACGUGCAUAGAGUGUAGACUCUAAACUCACAAAUUGAUUGCAUGAAAUAAAAACUUUAAUUAAUUUUAGGUGGAAAAAUUAAUUCUCUCUAUAAGAAACCAAAAACUUGAGCACUCAAGAAAAUAUAAUAUAUUCUCUAAAUAAAUUCACUAUUU
rnacentral:lncRNA from 1 species